rnacentral:tRNA from 1 species
CCCUUGGUGGCACAGACAGUUAAGCACUCAACUACUAAUUGAAAGGUUGGUGGUUCAAACCCACCCAGAGGUG